ACGAGAGUAGCUAAUAAGGGGUCGGCGACAAGGGACGUUAAUUUGUUGGGCCUAUGCCUCUUGGGCCUCAAGCCUCUUUCAAUUAUCGUCCAGAAGGAAUUUUCACAACACAUGCCCCCUACUCCUGAGUUCAAGCUUUAGUCGGUUGAAGGAAGUAAUCCUACACGCACCAAUCAAGAAUGUGAAGAGCCAUUCCAUU
rnacentral:lncRNA from 1 species